UUAAUACUGGAUAGAUCAAAGAUACUGGAAUGUUCUCUGGUUCAAAACUCCGGUGCCCAAGGAUGGGUCUGCGGCCUAUCAGGUAGUAGUGGGUGUAACGUACCUACUAGCCAGCGACGGGUAAGGGUUGUGAGAGCAAGAUCCCUGAGAUGGAUUCUGAGACAUGAAUCCAGGCCCUACGGGGUGCAGCAGGCGCGAAAACUUUACACUGCGGGAAACCGCGAUAAGGGGACCCCGAGUGCCAGCACCUAGUGCUGGCUGUCCAGCUGUCUAAAUAACAGCUGUUAGCAAGGGCCGGGCAAGACCGGUGCCAGCCGCCGCGGUAACACCGGCGGCCCGAGUGGUAACCGUUUUUAUUGGGUUUAAAGGGUCCGUAGCCGGCUUAUUAAGUCUCUUGGGAAAUCUGGCGGCUCAAUCGUCAGGCGUUCA
rnacentral:rRNA from 1 species